GAUGAACGCUGGCGGCGUGCCUAAUACAUGCAAGUCGAGCGAAUGGAUUGAGAGCUUGCUCUUAUGAAGUUAGCGGCGGACGGGUGAGUAACACGUGGGUAACCUGCCCAUAAGACUGGGAUAACUCCGGGAAACCGGGGCUAAUACCGGAUAACAUUUUGAACCGCAUGGUUCGAAAUUGAAAGGCGGCUUCGGCUGUCACUUAUGGAUGGACCCGCGUCGCAUUAGCUAGUUGGUGAGGUAACGGCUCACCAAGGCAACGAUGCGUAGCCGACCGGGGAGGGUGAUCGGCCAAACUGGGACUGAGACCCGGCCCAGACUCCUACGGGAGGCAGCAGUAGGGAAUCUUCCGCAAUGGACGAAAGUCUGACGGAGCAACGCCGCGUGAGUGAUGAAGGCUUUCGGGUCGUAAAACUCUGUUGUUAGGGAAGAACAAGUGCUAGUUGAAUAAGCUGGCACCUUGACGGUACCUAACCAGAAAGCCACGGCUAACUACGUGCCAGCCGCCGCGGUAA
rnacentral:rRNA from 1 species